UACGAAGGGGGCUAGCGUUGCUCGGAAUCACUGGGCGUAAAGGGUGCGUAGGCGGGUUUUUAAGUCAGGGGUGAAAUCCUGGAGCUCAACUCCAGAACUGCCUUUGAUACUGAAGAUCUUGAGUCCGGGAGAGGUGAGUGGAACUGCGAGUGUAGAGGUGAAAUUCGUAGAUAUUCGCAAGAACACCAGUGGCGAAGGCGGCUCACUGGCCCGCUACUGACGCUGAGGCACGAAAGCGUGGGGAGCAAACAGG
rnacentral:rRNA from 1 species